UUGGUGUCCGUUACGAGCGUCGGCCCGGGCGGCGCCGCUUGCCAGCCAUCCCGGCCCGCCUCCCUUCGGCGCCCACCAGGAAGGGCAGCGGGCGAGGGCCGGCGACCUCGUCUCCCGCCCGGGCUGCGCUGCCGGCGACGGGCAUCCAAGCGCCUGCCCCGGAGCUGGAAGAGAAAGAGCUCCUUUCCCUUUAAAUGUUGUUGGGGGUCGAGGACAAACUCAUAUCCUAUAUUGAAGAAAGCUGGAAAGGGACAAGAGAAAAAUUCAAAAUUUUCUCCCGAUGAGUAAUGCAUCCAGAGCUGGCGCUCGGAUCCUGCGGAACCUUAUCCUGUGGUCCAGUGAAUGGAAUGGUUAGAAUUGAGUUAGAAUACCUGAAAGUCCAGUGCUAAUUCUUCCUGAGAUUUACUCAACAAGUUUCGUCCACUGUCCGCUCUACUCAUACCAUUGAUUGCACUGGCAUUUUGCCACGCGAAAGAGCUUUAAUCAAGGUAUCUGAAAACCUGGAGGUUUCCUUGCUUGUCUAGUCAGUUGAACCCAAGUCGGUACCAUAAGGCUGAUUCUUGAACGACUGAGGUGCCUCUCGGGAGAAAACGCAUCUCUCAGAGGGAGUCUGAUACCAGAAGCUUCACCCUGGAGCGGAAACUCACUCAUUGAAAAGAGAAGAAAUUACGGGAAAGCCUAGUGUGGCGUCUGCAUUAGAAUUUCCCCAGGUUCCCAGGGAAGCUGCAAGAACCAAAAGUGACUUCCUUCCAAGGCAGGAACCAACAGUUGAGCAAUCCCAGUGGACGAAGUAUGCCUUUUGCCAAUACUUUCAGCUAAGAUCUCAGUGUGGACAACAGCCUAGCUUGAGACGUGAGCGCAUAGCUAGAACCAAGGAGUGGAAUCAGCCUCAACCUCACCACACUGACUGA
rnacentral:lncRNA from 1 species